rnacentral:rRNA from 1 species
UACGAAGGGGGCUAGCGUUGCUCGGAAUCACUGGGCGUAAAGCGCACGUAGGCGGCUUUCUAAGUCAGGGGUGAAAUCCUGGAGCUCAACUCCAGAACUGCCUUUGAUACUGAAGAUCUUGAGUUCGGGAGAGGUGAGUGGAACUGCGAGUGUAGAGGUGAAAUUCGUAGAUAUUCGCAAGAACACCAGUGGCGAAGGCGGCUCACUGGCCCGAUACUGACGCUGAGGCACGAAAGCGUGGGGAGCAAACAGG